rnacentral:rRNA from 1 species
GUACGAUCGCAAGGUUGAAACUCAAAGGAAUUGACGGGGGCCCGCACAAGCGGUGGAACAUGUGGUUUAAUUCGAUGAUACGCGAGGAACCUUACCUGGGCUUAAAUGUAGCGCGACGUCUCGAGAAAUCGGGAUUCCCUUUCGGGGCGAACUACAAGGUGCUGCAUGGUUGUCGUCAGCUCGUGCCGUGAGGUAUCGGGUUAAGUCCCAUAACGAGCGCAACCCUUAUUGUUAGUUGCCAGCGGAUAAUGCCGGGGACUCUAACAAAACUGCCCGUGUAAACGGGAGGAAGGUGGGGAUGACGUCAAAUCAGCACGGCCCUUAUGUCCAGGGCUACACACGUGUUACAAUGGCUGGAACAAAGGGCAGCUACCACGCAAGUGGAUGCUAAUCUCUAAAUCCAGUCCCAGUUCGGAUCGAAGUCUGCAAUUCGACUUCGUGAAGAUGGAAUCGCUAGUAAUCGCGCAUCAGCAAUGGCGCGGUGAAUAUGUUCCCGGGCCUUGUACACACUGCCCGUCAAGCCAUGGAAGUUAGUAGUACCUGAAGUCCGUAACCGAAAGGAGCGGCCUAGGGUAAGACUAAUGACUGGGGCUAAGUCGUAACAAGGUAACCAAGGGCGAA